CUUCGAGACCGUCUCGCGGAGACCAAGUUGAAAUCGAAACACCCAUCCUACCAUCUACCAACUAAGGAAAGAAAAAGUCCAAGUUCGGGCACUAGAUGGCCAAGGAUAGCAUAAAAGAAAAGGAGGGAAAAGAAAGAAAAAGUAAAUGGCGGUAAAAGGUGCCAAAGGGCCAAAGCCAUACACCACUCGAUAAAUUACAACAUGAAAAUCAAGCAAAAUCUUUCUAGAUAACUGCAAAUUACAUUUUCUUGUACAGACAAUUUCCAACCACUCCCGUUAUUAGUUUGUUCAAAGACCCAAACUUUCCGAAUGCUACAAAAAACCCACUAGCUUAUGGUUUAUAAUGCCUCUUGUGAUAUGUGGCGAGCCAGCCUUAACUUGAGGUCGUCUAAUCACGACGUCUUUGCAAGAGAGCAUAAAACUACCCGUGAUUACGCCCUCGAGGGGGCAACAGUCGGUUGGCAACAAUCCCUUUCAGACUAAUAAUUAAAGUCUUAAUUUGAGCGUGAAACUACGCUGUAGAAAACUGUGCUUUGGGUGUACACGUUUUUCUACUUGCCGACUUCUAGCGUGUGACAUCCUGAAAGAAUAACCGUUAAAAAGCCCAAGUUCUGUCAUGCAAAACGGUCAUGAACGAUUGGAGUCAAAAGGCAUAUAAAAUACUGUUACUCGAAAUACCUGUCAACUUCGAAAUGUCUUGGAUGUUGGAUCAUUUUUUUCCCGUCAAUUUAUUUUCUCAAAACGUCGACCGAUCCUUUUCUCCUCUAGAUGUCCUUGACUAAAUAUCGUCUGCUGGUCAUUCGGUUUCACACCACGAGGCAAUUGUACUCUUGCUUUCUUUGUCGUUUAUACACAAAAAAAAAAAGAACACAUUUUGGAACGAGUAUGAUGAACCAGUUGAAAAGGUAGUCGUGCAAUAAGGCGUACGGAUACAAAGAUUUGAACGUUUUCCCUAAAACAUUUGCUGUGAUCAAAACUCUCCGAUUAUGAAAUUGAAGAUCUUGCUCCCUGGCAUUCAAAAAGUCACUUUAUUGAGAUUGAAAACCCCAAAAAGAUGUUUAGAAAGUGGCGGAAAUCCUCUUGUGUCAGGUCUGCCAUUGACGUCAUUACGCUGGAAUCGUAAAAGUUUGAAAGAUGCACACUUUCUCCAUCUCUAUAUCAACAAUAUUAUCAUCCAGUUUUCAAGUACACGCAGCGCACGCCCUGAUGGAGUGACGCAGAGAACCAAAAGGGACGCACGAGGACGCCGUACAAUGACCGAUACGCUUGCUACACGUCUACGUGACCCCAAUAGUCCAGGAGUAGUAGGCACCUAGUUAUUAGUUUCUGCAGGUAGCAGGUGUACUAAUUACGUGGCAAAUGGAUUAUACAUAGACAGCCAACAACAGCUUUCCUUUUUUGGGGUAACAUAUGAUGCCCCACUAUAGCGUGCGCACAUCAGGGAAGCAUGACAUAAACUCGAGUUUAGUGGCCUACAUUCCGAUACUGCUCUUAAACACACUGGCAAAACCUGUUUUUCCAGCUCAAACUGAUCUGAAAACAACCGUAACGCUUAUUGUUGCCCGAGAUACGUACAGAGCAUCGUCUAGAUUAUUGUUAUAUAUAUAUAUAUAGGUUGCUGUUAUAGAUG